UAUAUUGGUGAGUAGUGUGAUAUUCUUAUUGCACUAGUGCAGUUCGCCCCUAUUAACCAUUUUAGAUCAAGAAGGUCAAGACCCAGAUCCUGAUCAGCAUGAGGGUUGUGAAUAGGUGUCCCCUAAAUCCCAUCAAGAGCUAGUGGAGGUUAACCUCCCUACAAGAUUUAUUUACCAUUUUCAUGUGUUUAUUUUGUUUUUUUAUGAAUUGCUAUGAAAUGAACAUUUUCAUAACCUUAUUGGACAUUUAAAUUUAUGU
rnacentral:lncRNA from 1 species